rnacentral:rRNA from 1 species
UACGGAGGGGGCAAGCGUUGUUCGGAAUUACUGGGCGUAAAGGGCGCGUAGGCGGCCUGCUAAGUCGAACGUGAAAUCCCCGGGCUCAACCCGGGAACUGCGUCCGAUACUGGCAGGCUUGAAUUCGGGAGAGGGAUGCGGAAUUCCCGGUGUAGUGGUGAUAUGCGUAGAUAUCGGGAGGAACACCUGUGGCGAAGGCGGCUCUCUGGGUCUUUCCUGACGCUGAGACGCGAAAGCGUGGGGAGCGAACCGG